CUCAGUCUUGAUAGUCUGUCAGUGACUUUGAUAUCUUUUUUUUAGACUUUGAGAUAUUUUUCCUGGUUUCUCCAUCCUCUGCUUCAUCCCUAAAGUCACAGAGGUGAAGACAAAGCCUGGAGAAGAUGUCAACUGUACCACAGAUGCUGCCUUCCCAUUGGCUAAGUGGAACAGAUCUGGUCUGGAGAACUACGCUGUCUUGUUAUACAAGGAUAGCAGGCUGAUUGGAACCUUCCCACUGUUCCAUGGUCUUGUGGAGCUGAAAGGUGAUGGUUCUGUUGUCCUGAAGAACGUCAGCGCCAACGACACAGGAAACUACACGUGUCUGGUUCUGACUCUGUGAUACGGAAGAGUAGUUGGUUGCCUCUGUCCAUCUGAUCGUCUCUGGAGGUUCUGAGAAUGAACCCAAGGCUGGAAACCUGAAGAACGGACCCACCGACAGUGACACUGAAGAGGAAGACUCAGAGUUGGAUGUUGAUGAGGCCCAGGAAGAGCCCAUUGACUGAAAGGGUU